rnacentral:rRNA from 1 species
CCCUUAGAUGUUCUGGGCCGCACGCGCGCUACACUGAUGCAUUCAACGAGUUUCUUCCUGGUCCGAGAGGAAUGGGUAACCUUUUGAAAGUGCAUCGUGAUGGGGAUAGACUAUUGCAAUUAUUGGUCUUCAACGAGGAAUUCCUAGUAGACGUAGUUCAUCAGACUGCAUCGAUUACGUCCCUGCCCUUUGUACACACCGCCCGUCGCUCCUACCGAUUGAAUGCUCAGGUGAGCCAUUCGGACCUUCAUCAUGCCGGUUUCCGGUUUUGAUGAGGGAAAGUCUUGCGAACCUUAUCAUUUAGAGGAAGGAGAAGUCGUAACA